rnacentral:rRNA from 1 species
CCAGACUCCUACGGGAGGCAGCAGUGGGGAAUAUUGCACAAUGGGGGAAACCCUGAUGCAGCAACGCCGCGUGAGUGAGGAAGUAUUUCGGUAUGUAAAGCUCUAUCGGCAGGGAAUAGAAAAGAAGGUACCUGAAAAAGAAGCCCCGGCUAACUACGUGCCAGCAGCCGCGGUAAUACGUAGGGGGCAAGCGUUAUCCGGAUUUACUGGGUGUAAAGGGAGCGUAGACGGAAAGGCAAGUCAGAAGUGAAAGCCCAAGGCUCAACCAUGGGACUGCUUUUGAAACUGUCAAACUAGAGUACGGGAGAGGUAAGAGGAAUUCCUAGUGUAGCGGUGAAAUGCAUAGAUAUCACGCAGAACUCCGAUUGCGAAGGCAGCAUACCGGCGCCCAACUGACGCUGAAGCACGAAAGCGUGGGUAUCGAACAGGAUUAGAUACCCUUGUAA